GGGCCUGAACCACAGGACUGGGGAG
rnacentral:piRNA from 1 species